UAAAAAUCUAAAUAUAAGUUUUUGUACUGUUUUGCUGUUAUUUUGUAGUUUAAGUUUAUUUAGGCUGGUACUUUAUUUAAUUGCGUUCGUUACGUACAUACGUAGGUUACGUUCAUUUUUAAUAUUUUAAUAUUUUAAUCUAUAGUGUCUGGUUUUUAAGUAGUUCAUCUUGUUUGAGGGUCCGAUGUGGGCCUCAAUUUAUGUUAUAUUAUUUUAUAUACCUGUAUUUUAUAUUUUCUAGAAUUUGCAAACUUGCUUGUUUCGAUUGUCAGUAUUCUCUUGAAAUUAUUAUUGGUCAUCGGCAAAAAACAAUGAAGAAAAUUCUAAACAUUUCUAAAUUGUUCCAUGGGUCUUUAAAAGGGAAUGUGUGUAAACUAACGUCGGAUCCAAGGUUUGUAGAUUACACAGGUUGCCUGGUAACUUUUUGGGUGAAGCGACGUGAGAGGGGACGACGCGUCAUCAGCAUACGUUAAAAUACAAAUAUGCCCAGCCAAUCAGAGAAAUUGAGAGUGGAGCAGCACUGCUGAUCCUUUCGUGAAAGUUCGUACGUCAAAUUUCGUUGCCGAUUAGCUACGGAAAUUGAAAAUCAAGGCAUUGGUUUUGUUUAACUUAACCUAUAUUGCAGAUUUUAUUUGCUUUGCUUGCUUCCUAAUAAUUGAUUUAAUUAUCAACAAUUAUAUCAACUUUGCAACUAUUUGAGUGAAAAUUCACAGCGUAUGUUGAGUGUUUACUCCAUUAUCUAUACAAUCCAUAUCUGUGCUGGUUUUGGGCUCAAAAACAAACAAUUUAGUGUUGGAGUUUCAUUACCUUUCAAUAAACUUGCCAGUGUUUCUUAGUGCAUAAUUUCCUUCCACUUAAACCAAUAUUUGCACUUAUCUGUUGCUGUCUGUUAGACAAUUAUGGCAUCACUAAGGUAAGAUACAUAUAAUUUUUUUAGUUCUAAUUUGAAUAAUUAUUUAUUUUGCAGUCAACAAAAUGCAAUCUGUGAAGUUUGUGAUAAGGAAUUUUCAAGCACAUCUACCAGAAACAGGCAUUGGAAAAAGUUUCACCCUGAAUUUGUUGGGAAGGAACAAAUAAAACACAUUAUAUGUCCAAUGUGUACUAAUGAUAUCCAGAUAUUUUCAUAUUUUAACUGUUUAAACAAACAUUUGCUUGAUAUUCACCAUAUAACUGUAAAAGAAUCAAUUUUAAAUUUUAGGAAUUUUGAAGAAUUCAUAUCUUGGAGGGCACAAGAUAAUAGGAAAGUAGAUUAUGUUUGUCAGACCCGAAACAAGUUUAAAAAUGGGGAAGAACACAUAUUUUACAAUUGCAACAGGAGCGAUAUCAGAGAUUGUACAAAGUCUUAGUUAUCAUUAUCAAACAUACAUAAGUAUGUUUUGUUGUGUUUACUUUUAGGAUUUAAUAGCGCAUGCAAAGUGAGAAGUUUGGGGGAAGCAUUCGCAUUUAAGGAACAUGUCAACAAGAUCAAACUCAAAUAGCUAUCAGCAUAAAAUUGUAAUAGAAGCCCAUAACAAAGCCAAAAAAAUGAAUGGUAAGGUAGAAUUUUUAGAAUUUGGAAAAUUUAAAAUACAAAGUGUUUCGGUGAGUGGUAAGUUCUAUAUUGUGUCUUGUCAUGAACUAUGUGAUGAGCAAUGUCGCACUGGAUACUGUAACAUCUGUAAAAUAUCUUUUCAUAAAUACAGAUGUGAGUGUCCAGAAAAUUCUGUCAAAACAGUACUUUGUAAACAUAUACAUGCUGUAGACAUUUUUGAGCAGAGGAGCGAGUUUGUUGUAAGUUCCCCAACUGUGAGUGAAGAGGAAGAGGAUAAUGUUUUGUUUGUUGAUCAACCCACAACUAGCCAAAUCAAUUAUCAGGAGGAUGUAAACCAUUUUAUUCAGGAGAGUUCAAAAAUGAAAGUCAAUAGUUCUGCAAUGGACUUUGAAGAAAAUCGAGAAGUAGUUUAAGUAAAAUAUAAGUUACAUUUUUAUUACAUCGUUUAUACUUAUUUUAAGAUUGCAUUGUAAGAAAUUUGUAGCUAUGGUAGAAGUUUAGAUAAAAAUGUAUUUGCCAGAUUUAUGGCUGUAAUCAACAAAUUUAAAAAUAAAGAGGUGGAGGAAGAAAAUUCUCAGGGCAUUGAAAAGAAAAAAAAAUGAAAAACAAAUAUAUUAUCCAAAUAAAAAAUAAGCUAGAUUUCUUUGUGUAUUUAAUGGCUAGAUAAUAUUUGAAUUGUAGCUAUUUUUUAUGUUUGUAUAGCUGUGAAGUUAACAAAAAUAGGAUGUGGUAUUUUAUAUGGUAUUUUGUGUUAUAAUCAGUAUAAUAUAACUAAGUAUAUUUUUUGUAAGGUUUUGGUGCAGGUUUCAAAUUGUAAAAACAAAUUUUAAGACGUCAUAGGUGUUGGUUUCUGUAUAACUAUUUUUAUAUCUUUUAUUUUAAGACUAAAAUGUUAGCUUAUUUUGUAUGUUAAUAUUUAACUAAUCAUUUUCUAUUACAUUUUGUUUGCUAUGUUUUUAAUAUUUUUUAGGGUGCAGAAAAGCUAAUUGGAUUAACUUGAAAUUGACAUGGAAUGAGGGGGAAGAUCUUAGUUUGAAUGGUUUGGGCUGUAUAUACAUGACCAGCAGAGAUGUCAAAUAAGCUAAAGAAGUGUGAGUCUACAUACUAUAUACCAGAUUAAUACAUUUAGCCUCUUUGCAUUUAAUUUUGAGGUUGUUGAUAUUAAAAAUACCAUAAAUUAUUAUAUUUAAAUAACAAAUAAAUUUAUAGAUUUUUUAUUAUUUGAAAUAAACAAAGUUAAAAUAUAA